GACGAACGCUGGCGGCGUGCUUAACACAUGCAAGUCGAACGGAAAGGCCCUGCUUGCAGGGUACUCGAGUGGCGAACGGGUGAGUAACACGUGUGUGAUCUGCCCUGCUCUUCGGGAUAAGCCUGGGUAACUGGGUCUAAUACCGGAUAGGAGCCAUUUUUAGUGUGAUGGUUGGAAAGUUUUUUUGGUGUAGGAUGAGCUCGCGGCCUAUCAGCUUGUUGGUGGGGUAAUGGCCUACCAAGGCGGCGACGGGUAGCCGGCCUGAGAGGGUGGACGGCCACAUUGGGACUGGGAUACGGCCCAGACUCCCACGGGAGGCAGCAGUGGGGGAGAUUGCACAAUGGGCGCAAGCCUGAUGCAGCGACGCCGCGGGGGGGAUGACGGCCUUCGGGUUGUAAACUCCAUUCGCUAGGGACGGAGCUUUUUGUGACGGUACCUAGAUAAGAAGCACCGGCUAACUACGUG
rnacentral:rRNA from 1 species